rnacentral:rRNA from 1 species
UACGGAGGGGGCGAGCGUUUAUUCGGAAUUAUUGGGCGUAAAGGGCGCGUAGGCGGCUGUACAAGUCAAAGGUGAAAUCCCUCGGCUCAACUGAGGAACUGCCUUUGAAACUGUACGGCUUGAGGCCGGGAGGGGGUAGCGGAAUUCCCAAUGUAGCGGUGAAAUGCGUAGAUAUUGGGAGGAACACCAGUGGCGAAGGCGGCUACCUGGACCCGGUUCUGGACGCUGAUGCGCGAAAAGCGUGGGUAGCAAACAGGG